rnacentral:rRNA from 1 species
UACGAAGGGGGCUAGCGUUGUUCGGAAUCACUGGGCGUAAAGGGCUCGUAGGCGGUCUGUUGCGUCGGGAGUGAAAACUCAAGGGCUUAACCCUGAGCCUGCUUCCGAUACGGGCAGACUAGAGGUAUGCAGGGGAGAACGGAAUUCCUGGUGUAGCGGUGAAAUGCGCAGAUAUCAGGAGGAACACCGAUGGCGAAGGCAGGUCUCUGGGCAUUAACUGACGCUGAGGAGCGAAAGCAUGGGGAGCGAACAGG